AUGGCUCAGGAUGAACGCUAGCGGCAGGCCUAACACAUGCAAGUCGCGGGGCAGCACGGGUAGCAAUACCUGGUGGCGACCGGCGCACGGGUGCGUAACGCGUAUGCAACCUGCCCCCAUCAGGGGAAUAGCCCGCCGAAAGGCGGAUUAAUGCCCCAUAGGCCCAGGGCGCCGCAUGGCGCUAUGGGUAAAGCUCCGGCGGAUGGGGAUGGGCAUGCGUGCCAUUAGGCUAGUUGGGGCGGUAACGGCGCACCAAGGCGACGAUGGCUAGGGGGUCUGAGAGGAUGGUCCCCCACACUGGUACUGAGACACGGACCAGACUCCUACGGGAGGCAGCAGUGAGGAAUAUUGGUCAAUGGGCGGAAGCCUGAACCAGCCAUGCCGCGUGCAGGAUGACGGCCCUACGGGUUGUAAACUGCUUUCCCCGGGAAGAAUAAGCCCCUCGUGAGGGGUGAUUGCCGGUACCGGGGGAAUAAGGAUCGGCUAACUCCGUGCCAGCCGCUGC
rnacentral:rRNA from 1 species